rnacentral:lncRNA from 1 species
GAGAGCCACCUGCAGACGGAUGAAUGUGGUUGGCACAAACUCAGAAGCCUCAUGUAGGGCUUUCAGCUCCAAGCUGGAAGGGGAGCCUGGCCACAGUGUCUGCAAAGGUUGCUACCUUCUCCUGCCCCAGGCCACGUCCCCUCAGCCUCCAGAGACUCUCAUCCAUCAUCUAACACAUCAGUGUCCCAUACCCGGCUCCCUCCCCAUCUCUUGAUUUCCUUUUUUGCUGUUUUAUUUGACUCGGAAUCGCAUGUAGCCCAGGCUAGCUUUAGACUCCCUAGAUAGCCCAGACUGGCCCUGAACCCGUGUCUCUCCUGACCCAGUCCCACAAGUGCUGGAAUUCAGGCAAGACCCACCUCACCCACUGCUUUCUGUUUCUUUCUUUCCUCCUGCUUGUUUGUUUGUUUGUUUGUUUGUUUGUUUGUUUUGGGAAAAGGAUCCCAUAACACAGACCUUGCUGUGUUCACUGUUACAGACAAUUUUCAGUCUCCUGCCUCAGCUUCCUGGGAGCUGAGAUGACAGCCAUGUACACCAUGACUACUCACUGUCCCCUCUAAAUUUUUCUGUGGGCUGUACAUAGUGUUUCAACAUCCUUCAGUCGGUGCGUUUUAACCCUUGGGCCUGUGGUUUGGCCUCUGUCAACCCCUGUGACUUCUCUUCCAUAAGCCUUCUGCCAACCACACACACAUACCCUCCAGCUAUUUGUCCCUAGAGUUUGCUCUGCCUGGACACUUCUCUUUCCCAUGUCAUUGAUUUAUCAAGGCUUGAAGUAGCCAUUACCACAUUAGACGGACUUCCCCCUCUCCCCAGCUUCCUCUCAUCCCAUGAGUGUGUAACGAUGGAUAUCGAUAACUUUCCCUCUCUGAACUGAGAGCUCAGUGAGGCGCACACCACACAUAUACCAGCAGAAACAUAGCCUGGCAUAUAGCAGGCACUCAAUAAAUACUCGUGGACUG